rnacentral:rRNA from 1 species
CCUACGGGUGGCAGCAGUGAGGAAUAUUGGUCAAUGGGCGCGAGCCUGAACCAGCCAAGUCGCGUGAAGGAUGACGGUCCUAUGGGCUGUAAACCUCUUUUGUCAGGGAACAAAGUGCGCCACGCGUGGCUUUCCGAGUGUACCCUAUGAAAAAGGAUCGGCUAACUCCGUGCCAGCAGCCGCGGUAAUACGGAGGAUGCGAGCGUUAUCCGGAUUUAUUGGGUUAAAAGGGUGCGCAGACGGAAGGUCAAGUCAGCGGUAAAAUUGAGCGGCUCAACCUCUGCGAGCAGUUGAAACUGGUUGUCUUGAGUGAGCGAGAAGUAGGCGGAAUGCGUGGUGUAGCGGUGAAAUGCAUAGAUAUCACGAAGAACUCCGAUUGCGAAGGCAGCAUACUGGAGUGCAACUGACGCUGAUGCACGAAAGUGUGGGUAUCGAACAGGAUUAGAUACCCUUGUAGUC